CAGUCGCCGCGGGAAUACGAAGGGUGCAAGCGUUACUCGGAAUUACUGGGCGUAAAGCGUGCGUAGGUGGUGGUUUAAGUCCGUUGUGAAAGCCCUGGGCUCAACCUGGGAAUUGCAGUGGAUACUGGGUCACUAGAGUGUGGUAGAGGAUAGUGGAAUUUCCGGUGUAGCAGUGAAAUGCGUUUAGAUCGGAAAGAACACCAACGGCGAAAGCACUCUGCUGGGCCGACACUGACACUGAGAGACGAAAGCUAGGGGAGCAAAUGGGAUUAGAUACCCGCGUAGUCCCUGUCUCUUAUAC
rnacentral:rRNA from 1 species